rnacentral:rRNA from 1 species
UAUCCCCCCCCUGUGUGCCCUUGCCCUCCCCCACGACUGCAGAACGCGAAGAACCUUACCAAGGCUUGACAUGCAUCGGAAACACUCAGAGAUGGGUGCCCCCUUUGGGUCGGUGUACAGGUGGUGCAUGGCUGUCGUCAGCUCGUGUCGUGAGAUGUUGGGUUAAGUCCCGCAACGAGCGCAACCCUUGUCCUGUGUUGCCAGCAGGCCCUUGUGGUGCUGGGGACUCACGGGAGACCGCCGGGGUCAACUCGGAGGAAGGUGGGGACGACGUCAAGUCAUCAUGCCCCUUAUGUCUUGGGCUGCACACGUGCUACAAUGGCCGGUACAAUGAGCUGCGAUACCGUGAGGUGGAGCGAAUCUACAAAAGCCGGUCUCAGUUCGGAUGGGUCUGCAACUCGACCCCAUGAAGUCGGAGUCGCUAGUAAUCGCAGAUCAGCAUUGCUGCGGUGAAUACGUUCCCGGGUCUUGUACACAC